rnacentral:rRNA from 1 species
CCUACGGGAGGCAGCAGUGAGGAAUAUUGGUCAAUGGACGAGAGUCUGAACCAGCCAAGUAGCGUGAAGGAUGACUGCCCUAUGGGUUGUAAACUUCUUUUAUAUGGGAAUAAAAUGUUCCACGUGUGGGAUUUUGUAUGUACCAUAUGAAUAAGGAUCGGCUAACUCCGUGCCAGCAGCCGCGGUAAUACGGAGGAUCCGAGCGUUAUCCGGAUUUAUUGGGGUUAAAGGGAGCGUAGGUGGAUUGGUAAGUCAGUUGUGAAAGUUUGCGGCUCAACCGUAAAAUUGCAGUUGAAACUGGCAGUCUUGAGUACAGUAGAGGUGGGCGGAAUUCGUGGUGUAGCGGUGAAAUGCUUAGAUAUCACGAAGAACUCCGAUUGCGAAGGCAGUUCACUGGACUGCAACUGACACUGAGGCUCGAAAGUGUGGGUAUCAAACAGGAUUAGAUACCCUAGUAGUC